UACGUAGGGACCAAGCGUUGUUCGGAUUUACUGGGCGUAAAGGGCGCGUAGGCGGCGUGUUAAGUCACUUGUGAAAUCUCUGAGCUUAACUCAGAACGGUCAAGUGAUACUGAUGUGCUAGAGUGCAGAAGGGGCAACCGGAAUUCUUGGUGUAGCGGUGAAAUGCGUAGAUAUCAAGAGGAACACCUGAGGUGAAGACGGGUUGCUGGGCUGACACUGACGCUGAGAAGCGAAAGCAUGGGGAGCGAACAGG
rnacentral:rRNA from 1 species